GCAUGGCCAUAGACCACCUCCAGCAUUUGUGCCCUAUAUGAAGAUUAUCUACAACACAAAUGCGACGCAAAGUCUGACAGUUGAAUAUGGACUGGCACAGCCUCGGCCAUUAUCUAUGAUGGCUGAAUCAGGCAGUGAUGAAGAUGACAUGAUUUGAAGACACCCUGAAGUCAUGAAUUGUUUAAAAAUAAAUAAACUUUGUCCUA